GAUCAUGGCUCAGGAUGAACGCUAGCUACAGGCUUAACACAUGCAAGUCGAGGGGAAACGAUAGAGAAAGCUUGCUUUUUCUAGGCGUCGACCGGCGCACGGGUGAGUAACGCGUAUCCAACCUGCCCAUCACUUGGGGGAUAACCUUGCGAAAGUAAGACUAAUACCCAAUGACGUCUCUAGAAGACAUCUGAAAGAGAUUAAAGAUUUAUCGGUGAUGGAUGGGGAUGCGUCUGAUUAGCUUGUUGCGGGGUAACGGCCCACCAAGGCGACGAUCAGUAGGGGUUCUGAGAGGAAGGUCCCCCACAUUGGAACUGAGACACGGUCCAAACUCCUACGGGAGGCAGCAGUGAGGAAUAUUGGUCAAUGGACGAGAGUCUGAACCAGCCAAGUAGCGUGCAGGAAGACGGCCCUAUGGGUUGUAAACUGCUUUUAUAAGGGAAUAAAGUGAGUCUCGUGAGACUUUUUGCAUGUACCUUAUGAAUAAGGACCGGCUAAUUCCGUG
rnacentral:rRNA from 1 species